rnacentral:rRNA from 1 species
GACGAACGCUGGCGGCGUGCUUAACACAUGCAAGUCGAACGGAAAGGCCCUGCUUUUGUGGGGUGCUCGAGUGGCGAACGGGUGAGUAACACGUGAGUAACCUGCCCUUGACUUUGGGAUAACUUCAGGAAACUGGGGCUAAUACCGGAUAGGAGCUCCUGCUGCAUGGUGGGGGUUGGAAAGUUUCGGCGGUUGGGGAUGGACUCGCGGCUUAUCAGCUUGUUGGUGGGGUAGUGGCUUACCAAGGCUUUGACGGGUAGCCGGCCUGAGAGGGUGACCGGCCACAUUGGGACUGAGAUACGGCCCAGACUCCUACGGGAGGCAGCAGUGGGGAAUAUUGCACAAUGGGCGGAAGCCUGAUGCAGCAACGCCGCGUGCGGGAUGACGGCCUUCGGGUUGUAAACCGCUUUCGCCUGUGACGAAGCGUGAGUGACGGUAAUGGGUAAAGAAGCACCGGCUAACUACGUGCCAGCAGCCGCGGUGAUACGUAGGGUGCGAGCGUUGUCCGGAUUUAUUGGGCGUAAAGGGCUCGUAGGUGGUUGAUCGCGUCGGAAGUGUAAUCUUGGGGCUUAACCCUGAGCGUGCUUUCGAUACGGGUUGACUUGAGGAAGGUAGGGGAGAAUGGAAUUCCUGGUGGAGCGGUGGAAUGCGCAGAUAUCAGGAGGAACACCAGUGGCGAAGGCGGUUCUCUGGGCCUUUCCUGACGCUGAGGAGCGAAAGCGUGGGGAGCGAACAGGCUUAGAUACCCUGGUAGUCCACGCUGUAAACGGUGGGUACUAGGUGUGGGGUCCAUUCCACGGGUUCCGUGCCGUAGCUAACGCUUUAAGUACCCCGCCUGGGGAGUACGGCCGCAAGGCUAAAACUCAAAGGAAUUGACGGGGCCCCGCACAAGCGGCGGAGCAUGCGGAUUAAUUCGAUGCAACGCGUAGAACCUUACCUGGGUUUGACAUGGAUCGGGAGUGCUCAGAGAUGGGUGUGCCUCUUUUGGGGUCGGUUCACAGGUGGUGCAUGGCUGUCGUCAGCUCGUGUCGUGAGAUGUUGGGUUAAGUCCCGCAACGAGCGCAACCCUUGUUCACUGUUGCCAGCACGUUAUGGUGGGGACUCAGUGGAGACCGCCAGGGUCAACUCGGAGGAAGGUGGGGAUGACGUCAAGUCAUCAUGCCCCUUAUGUCCAGGGCUUCACGCAUGCUACAAUGGCUGGUACAGAGAGUGGCGAGCCUGUGAGGGUGAGCGAAUCUCGGAAAGCCGGUCUCAGUUCGGAUUGGGGUCUGCAACUCGACCUCAUGAAGUCGGAGUCGCUAGUAAUCGCAGAUCAGCAACGCUGCGGUGAAUACGUUCCCGGGGCU